rnacentral:tRNA from 1 species
GGGCUCGUGGUUUAGUGGUAUAAUACUCCCUUAGCAUCUCGCAGCUGCAAUGCAGCCCAUCGAAAUCCUGACUGGGAGUGGUCCGGGGUUCGAUUCCCCGCGAGUCCA